rnacentral:rRNA from 1 species
AUUGAACGCUGGCGGAAUGCUUUACACAUGCAAGUCGAGCGGCAGCACGGGGGCAACCCUGGUGGCGAGCGGCGAACGGGUGAGUAAUACAUCGGAACAUGCACAAUCGUGGGGGAUAACACUUCGAAAGAAGUGCUAAUACCGCAUACGUCCUGAGGGAGAAAGCGGGGGAUCUUCGGACCUCGCGCGAUUGGAGUGGCCGAUGUCAGAUUAGCUAGUUGGUGGGGUAAAGGCCUACCAAGGCAACGAUCUGUAGCUGGUCUGAGAGGAUGAUCAGCCACACUGGGACUGAGACACGGCCCAGACUCCUACGGGAGGCAGCAGUGGGGAAUUUUGGACAAUGGGGGCAACCCUGAUCCAGCCAUUCCGCGUGAGUGAAGAAGGCCUUCGGGUUGUAAAGCUCUUUCGGCAGGGACGAAACGGCGAGCUCUAACAUAGCUUGCUAAUGACGGUACCUGAAGAAGAAGCACCGGCUAACUACGUGCCAGCCGCCGCAGUAACAC